rnacentral:misc_RNA from 1 species
UGGUGCGUUACACCCGGCCGGU